rnacentral:rRNA from 1 species
GAUGAACGCUGGCGGCGUGCCUAAUACAUGCAAGUCGAGCGAACAGACGAGGAGCUUGCUCCUCUGACGUUAGCGGCGGACGGGUGAGUAACACGUGGAUAACCUACCUAUAAGACUGGGAUAACUUCGGGAAACCGGAGCUAAUACCGGAUAAUAUAUUGAACCGCAUGGUUCAAUAGUGAAAGACGGUUUUGCUUUCACUUAUAGAUUGAUCCGCGCCGCAUUAGCUAGUUGGUAAGGUAACGGCUUACCAAGGCAACGAUGCGUAGCCGACCUGAGAGGGUGAUCGGCCACACUGGAACUGAGACACGGUCCAGACUCCUACGGGAGGCAGCAGUAGGGAAUCUUCCGCAAUGGGCGAAAGCCUGACGGAGCAACGCCGCGUGAGUGAUGAAGGUCUUCGGAUCGUAAAACUCUGUUAUUAGGGAAGAACAAAUGUGUAAGUAACUAUGCACGUCUUGACGGUACCUAAUCAGAAAGCCACGGCUAACUACGUG